CUGAGUACUACCAUCCAACAACAACACAUUGGUUCUUAAAAAAUUUCUAGUCAUGGAACAAGUCCUGCCUCUUCAAAAUAGUCAUUUUGUGAAAUUAAAAAAGGAAGACCCUCAACCCCACCCCCUAAGGGACCAUAACCCUUAACCUCCAAGAACUUGAAUAACAAAUGAUUCUUUUUGUUACCAUCCUCGAAUUCAAAACAAUGGAAAAAUCUGACUCUGUACUACCGUUACAGUUAUUUUAGCAGAGCUUCUUGAGUACAUCAUUGAAACAGUGCUUUAAAAAAGGCAUAUGGUAAUAAUUAUAAGAGAAGGUCACACAGGUGCAGGUUGCCUCAAUAUGGUCACAACAAAAAUGAAUUAAUUGGGACACAUACCAAACAAGUAGGCUCAAUUAGAAGUAAAUAAGUCUCUUAACAAUUCAUUUCUGCAUUAAUCAUCAGCUCUCUUUUAUCUCUUAAGGAGGAGAAAUAUCCUCUUCCCUCUGGCGGAUUUAUAGCUAUCAGUUCUGGGAAGCUCAUAGGAAGUUGGAAAAGUAUCAACUCUCUGGUUAUCUCCAGCUGGUGAAAGCUAGUUCCCUGCAAAGCAGCUGCAUAUUUUUCAUUGAUGCAAAAGAGGAUACUCGAGCUUCUUAGUUUGUUCAUGGCAGACCAGAGUUGGUCUCCGGUGUAGCAGGAGCCUCAGCACUUUGUGGGAGAUUUUUCAGCUCCGAGGGAAACCACCUACUUCUACCCACCUCACCCUCUGGAAAACUCUGUCUGCAGCCUAAGCCCUGUGUCCACGUGGUGGUCCAGAAAACUCUCCAAAACACACACAGUAACUGACCUGGCCAGUGACCUGAAGAAUUGGUGUCCACAUCAUCGAAGAUGCGUUUUACUGCUUUGGAGCCUUCCACCUACGUGUUCAUCUAUCACCUCUGGCAAGCACACAGUAUUUAAAAAUCAAGAACUUCUUUUGUGGAAUAUGUAAUUAAGGCUUUGCUGGAAGCUUGUUUGCUGAAAGCCUGAGAAGGGCUUGCAAGCUCCAAAAUAUAUUGAGUGUAUGAAAUUGCAGUGCUCCAGAUACUAUAUAUCUUACUUCCUUCCCAACUUACUUUCACAAAGGUUUUAUUUGUGGCACCAGAAUUCUUAUUUCUAGUAAGUCAGUUAAAAUAAAUGGUGGAAUCCUUCCAGAUACUGUAGUUCUUAAGUAAGAUAUGUCUUCCUAGUUAUCUAAGGAAUCUGUGAUCCUUAGUGGUCCUGCAGUCUUCAUUUGUCACAGCCAGCAUCACAGCAACCUGUCUGGUCUUAUUUUGGGAUUUAUCUUUUACUGUGAGCAGACUCAUCCACUAUUAGCCAGUGAUAAGCAACAGCUUUUUGGCAUAAAAAC